rnacentral:rRNA from 1 species
UGCCAGCAGCCGCGGUAACACGUACCGGACAAACGUUAUUCGGAAUCACUGGGCUUAAAGAGUGCGUAGGCGGCUCUGCAGGUGGGGUGUGAAAGCCCACGGCUCAACCGUGGAAUUGCGCUCCAAACCGCAGGGCUUGAGGGAGACAGGGGUGAGCGGAACUGAUGGUGGAGCGGUGAAAUGCGUUGAUAUCAUCAGGAACACCGGUGGCGAAGGCGGCUCACUGGGUCUCUUCUGACGCUGAGGCACGAAGGCUAGGGGAGCGAACGGGAUUAGAUA